rnacentral:lncRNA from 1 species
GGAUUCUCCUGGGAGUCCAUCUUUCUGAAAUGAACUGCACGUCAGCUGUGCAGGCAGGGAGAAAGGAGGUGGAAGAGGCAAGGGAGCAAGAAAGGAAGGAGGGAAGCAAAAUAAACCCACUCCUGUGUAGAGCGUUGGAAAUGUGGCACUAACAAAGACUUCCUGUUCCACAUAGAAUCAGCGCUGGCAGAGGCGGCAUGCAGGGCUGUGGGUGUACUCAGCUGUGCAGAGCUGAUUAUAGAAGAUGAAAGGGCUUGGCAAUUUAUUUCAUCUCACACUGAAGCACUGCUGACAACUGAAAGUGAGGACAGAAGGAUUCAUUUGUUCAACUUCUGUUUUAAAAAACAGACUUCAAAUGAUACCACAGAGAAAAAGGAGGAAACGCUGCAGUGUAAUAAAAUGUCUAUUUUUAAAAAACACACUAGCUGCAGCAUUUUUAUUUCAUAGGUGGGUUUGAAGGCAAAGGGGUUGGCUUUUUUGUGGUUGUUAUCAAUUCCAGGGAAUGUGACAUGCACGCAGGAUCAAUUACUAAUCAAAUAGACCACGUUCACCUAAUCUGACCAAAGCUCUCGUGUACAUUCAUCCUUGAGUCCAAAGAUGAGUCACAGUGAGGAAAACCUAACCCUGCAGUGUUUAAAUACUUCCUAUGCAGGAUCUUUAUACUAAAACUGAAUAAAUGUAUGAUAUAUGAUGGAGAAUCUAUUUUAAAUUUUAUAAUCCUGGUCAUCUUAAUUUUUA